rnacentral:rRNA from 1 species
UGGGGAAUAUUGCACAAUGGGGGAAACCCUGAUGCAGCGACGCCGCGUGAAGGAAGAAGUAUUUCGGUAUGUAAACUUCUAUCAGCAGGGAAGAAAAUGACGGUACCUGACUAAGAAGCCCCGGCUAACUACGUGCCAGCAGCCGCGGUAAUACGUAGGGGGCAAGCGUUAUCCGGAUUUACUGGGUGUAAAGGGAGCGUAGACGGAGAGGCAAGUCUGAUGUGAAAACCCGGGGCUCAACCCCGGGACUGCAUUGGAAACUGUUUUUCUAGAGUGUCGGAGAGGUAAGCGGAAUUCCUAGUGUAGCGGUGAAAUGCGUAGAUAUUAGGAGGAACACCAGUGGCGAAGGCGGCUUACUGGACGAAGACUGACGUUGAGGCUCGAAAGCGUGGGGAGCAAACA